rnacentral:rRNA from 1 species
GACAGAGGUGCCAAGCGUUUAGGCGGAAUCACUGGGCUUAAAGCGUGUGUAGGCGGAUGCCUAAGUACCUUGUGAAAUCCCCCGGCUCAACCGGGGAACGGCUGGGUAUACUGGGUGUCUUGGGUCAUCUAGGGGCUGCCGGAACAAAUGGUGGAGCGGUGAAAUGCGUAGAUAUCAUUUGGAACGCCAACGGGCGAAAGCAGGCAGCUGGGGAUGCACCGACGCUGAGACACGGAAAGCCAGGGAGCGAACGGG